CGACCGCACUAAAUGGAUCAUCCAGGAGAUAUACAUCUGCAUCCUGAUAUAAUGCGCGUGCGAGUUGAACCCGUUGCUUUUGUCCACCACUCAGAUUAACACCUCUUUCUCCUAUUUCAGUGAGAUCACCAAAUGGAAGCAUCUCAAGGUCCUUCACUAGGGCACACUUCUCAAUAGCCUCUCUGUAUCUGUAAGGAUCCAUAGCUGACCCAAACAGAAUAUUUUCUUGUAUGGUCCCUGUUGGAAUCCAAGCUGUCUGAGAGACGUAAGCAAUCUUUCCAUAAACUCGAACCUGGAAAAGAUGGAUCCAGAAUUUGUAUUAAGACUUUAGUUGAGGUAAGUCUCCUAGAACCUUUUAGGGCUCAUGAAGUUGUCUACCUUCCCCAUUUUCCUCCAUGAUGUUAAUAUCUACCAAAUGAAGUGUGUAUAAAUCAGGAAUGAUGCAUUACUUCUUUCAGAUUUUAAGUUUGUUUUCUUUCGUAUUCCUACUUAGGAAACCAUGAAAGAAUGUAAAAAUUCAUGCCAGUUUGUUGUUAUUCAUUCCAGAACAACUGUGCACAAAGUAGCUGUUUAGUAUUUAUUCUAGUCCAUGGAUGAGGAAGAAAUGGAAUUGAAAGGGGUACUUACUAUGCCAUUAAUGUGUGGAACUUCUCCAAGAAUAGCAGCUAAUAGUGUUGAUUUACCUGAGCCAACCUCUCCACAAAUAGCUACCCUUUCCCCAGGCUUAACCACCAAAUUUAUGUUCCUUAGUGUAGCCCUUGUAGAGUUAUCCUCCCAUGAAAUUCUGUUGCUCUUGAUAAAAAUGGAUUCCUCCAGCUCCUUUCCAUCACACAUCUUCCUUACAUGUUUGUUCUGCAGCUCUGGUGCGUCAAGAAACUUUGCAAUCCGAUCUAACGAAACCUUGGCCUCAAUGAAUGCUGUAAUGACAUCAGGGAUUAACCUAAUUGGCUCCUGGGCAAUGCGUAAACUUGCCAUAAAUGUGAAAACAUUGCUAGCAGAGAGAGUAGUUCCAAUAAAGUAGCAUGCCGUGAAAGUAAUGGCUGAUACUACAAUGGGAGAUGACCAAAACAGAAUCAGACUGUACCCUUUCUGUGACAGAACUGACACUAACCACUUGAACUCCUCUUUCCUUAACCUUUCUAUGACAUUCUUGAAAUGAGUCUCCCAAGCGUACAGCUUCAGGCUUUUCAUGUUUGUAAGUGCCUCUGUGAAAGCCUUCAGCCUCUUGUCCUGAGUUCCCAUGAGCAUUUUCUGGUACUUGUGUUGUAACCUUCCCAUGGGAGAGUUUGCAACUACAGUCAAUAUUACUACAAACAGAGCUGCUAUAGUUGCAAGCCCCAACGAAUAGUAAAUAAUAAUCAAUGCCAGACACAACUGGAGGCUUGUUGACCAGAUCUGGUGAAACCAGUACGGGAAUUCACCUAUAUUGUAAGCAUCAAUAAUAACAAAGCUCACGAUCUGAGCAGGGGAAUACAACCCCUUUGCAGUGUUUGAGAGCUUAAGCUGCUUCUGAUAGAUGGCUGCAGAUAGAAACGAUCUCACUUGGAGCCCAAUCAAUCUAGUUCGAAAGAACCACUGCCUCUCUGAUAACGAUUCUAAGCAUUUAGUAAGGAAGAGCCCUCCCGUCAGUGCAUAACCUUCAUACUUAAAAGCUUCUUUGCCUUCAGCAACCAGGAUGAAGGCUCUAAGAAACAGAGGGCCAGUAGAAAGUGUUAGCACCUUCAUCAAUGCAAAGAAGCCAGAAAUCAAAAUCUGUUUCCACUGCCACAAUAAUAUAGUCGACAAAAUGGAAGGAGAGUCAGAUGACUGCUGUUUCUGCUUGUUCUGCUGUUCCAUGAACAUUAAGUAACACAUUUCCGCUCGAUCUUCCCUUCUUAGCUGUGGAAUGUCUUUGUCCUCGAGAGUUUUCUGCUUACCUUUCUUCAUCAACGAAUUCAACCACCAAAAUGACAUUCUACUAAUAAGCCCAGCUUUCUCAAAAGGGGGUAAGCUGGCAUCUGUAUUGAUUUUAUCACCAGCACUGCUUCCUUCACCUGGCAAAGGUCUAUAGAAGGCAGCACCAUCAAAUCCUGAAUCAGUUCCUGCAUAUUUUGGUCCCGUAAAAGUGCAGAACAUCAAUAGAAUCGCUCCAGGAAAAGAUAUAACAUCUAAAAUCACCUUAACUGAUACUGCAUCGCCCACAAUAGCUUCCCAGAAAGAUGUAACACAGGGAAAACCUGCGAUAAAGAAUGCAAGUACUGAACAGAGCCUCAGCCCUGCAUUAUGUAGAAGUUGAUGCCUCUUAAACCUCACAGCUAAACCCAGAAAAAACCAGGUGAAGCCUUGUAAUAAGACCACUAGCCAGCCAUGCAGAGGUAGAAUGGUGUUCUCUUCACUCAGCUUCUCUCCCACAAUCCAGAACCCCAAACCGAGAUAAACCAACCCUAAACUACCAUUAAGAAAGGCAGCAGAAUUUAGCAUUGUGGAAAAGCAUCUAGACUGUUGAGGGGAUAAGAUCUUCAUAGCUGAUGCUUUAUAUAUGAAGAUAAAUAAUAAGUAGAGCAAGACGAUGAUGUCAACAGAAAUGACCAAAAUAUGAUUGAGACAUGAACAUGGACAGACGAUGGCUAGGAACCCAGAACUGCAUAUCUUUCCAAUUUUACUCCAACACCAGGAACUUCCACAGAAAACAGUCCAGAGACUCUCACCCAUGUUGUAUCUUCUUGCCUUCACAAAACUGUAGCUGUAAUAAAGUAAAGAAAACAAAGGGGUUAUUUAUUAGAUUUUUGGUGUUUUAGACUUGGGAAGUAGUACUAAACAUGAGAACCAUCAAUGCAUGCCUAAUAGUUUCAAUUUUCAGUUGAAAUUAAAAGUAAAAUUUAUCAUACAGGACUGAUCUAAACUUAAUUUCACAACCCCAGGUGCCUAAGAUCAGGAGAAAGAAUCCAAGAACAACUGAACUGAGAUUGAAGAGAACUGACUAAAGACAUAGAACACAAGAAAUUGCAGAAAAAAAGUAGGGAGAAUGGGAUCCAAUGGAGAUGAAUCAAACAUGAAAUCAGAAGAAGAUGUGAACAAGUUCAGGAAACUUAUGCAAAACUCCCCAUUUUUCCGUUUGAUUGUUGAGAAAAAUGCUGGAAAGUAAAUGAAAACCUUAAAUCUCAUAACAAGUAGGGGAUGGAGUGGUAGUUUUAAGAUUGCAAAACUUCUUUUCUUUUACCAUGAGUCUCAGUAACCAAACACACAAACAACCCCACUAGAUCUGUUCUCUCAAGCUGAAAGGAUGAACCCAAAAAAUACGAGAACAACAAGAUCAAACACUUACCUUAGGAUACGUUGGACAAUGAUGUCAAACCAAACCAGAUUUUUUUAUUUAAGCUAAAAUUUCAGUCCAAAUUCCAAAUACUGAACAAAGACUUGAGCAUUUAAGGUAGAAAAACAGAACCCAGAAGAGGAAAAUAAUAGAAAAUUAAUAUUCACAAUGCACCGAGUCAGCCCACAAGAAAAUGAAGCGUCAUAUGAAGGACCCAGGAAUUCAAAGCAAUUAAUGAAGAAACAGACAGAAAGAUGGAGCUACUUCAGAGAGUGAAAAGUGAAAACCAUCUUGAACCAAUUAUAGAAAGCACAGAACAUGGUGGUGGACAAAAUAUUAUGCUGAAGAAGUGCUACAAAAUCCAUAUAGGUAAAAAACCUGCAUAGGCCAUCCAGAAUCUCACCAUCCCUCAUCAAAUCUGUCUGUUUUUUCUCCUUUUUUUUCCCUUCUUUUUUAGUGAGCAUAGGUCAUUCAGAAUAUCACUCUGCCUCAUCAAAUCAUGGGUGUUCAUCUCGCCCUCUUCUACACCUCACUGCUCUCUUUCCUUGCAUUAUAUUAAUGUGUUGUUCCACUCAAACGACAAAUCGAGUUGUUCUCAUGCUUCACGAUGUCGUUGUUGAGGGAGAAUAUUAUCAAGUCUCUGUGUAUAUAUUGUUUCUGUCCACUUCUAUGGAAUUGAUUCUCUAGCUAUAUGGUUAGGUUCGACUGAUGGAAUCAUUUCAUUAAUCUCAAAGUCACCCUCAUUCUCUGCUCCAAUGAUUUUAUUUUUAUAUUUUAUAUUAAAAAAUGACAUUCAGACUGACGUGAUCAACAACACCAUCAGAAUUCUCUUAACCCAACCCUGGGCCUACUACCUUAUAAUUUAAGUUUUUAAAACGAUUUUCGAAAAAAUCAUUUUCAAAAAUAAUUUUAUGAUAGUUUUUAAAAUAAAAUUAAGAAUUUGAAUUAUUUUUUAAUCUAUCUUAUAUAUUUUCAAAUAUUUUUUAAAAAUAAUUUUUAUUUAUAAUAUUUUAUUUUUAUUAAUUCUCUGUAUUUAUAUAAAUAUUUCUUAAAACAAUUCAAAAAAAUAAGUAAAAAUAGUUAAAAUAUGUUAUCACAAAAUAUCAAAACAAGUUCUUAAAAAUAUAUUUUUUGUCAAAAAAAUCACUAAUGUUUUUGUGGACCCCGCAUUUUCGGCUCAUGCGUUUCCCACUCGAUGGCGAGCUCGAUUUUUAUUUGAAAAAUGAUUUUUAUUGAUUAAGAAAAUGACUUGGAGUCGCCACUUAUUUUUGUUUUAUUUUUAAAAGGGUAAACAAAAUAAGAAAGAAAAACCCUAAGUGUGACUCUUUAUUUUGGAAAAGACGGUCUACGAAAAAUCGGGUCGAGUUCAGGGGUCAGGUUACUUAUCGGGAAGGUACGGUAAGGACCGUAGCACCCUUCUAAGUCCCUAAAGUCGGGUCUCUACUAAUAAAAUGAAGCAAUCAUGACAAUUGAUGAGGGAAUCAAUGAAUACUUAGAGUGAUCAUGCAUAUGUGAGAAUCUAAACAUGCGUAUAGAAAAUGACCCAAGCGGGUGUGGAUGCGUACCUGGGCAGUGAUCCAUAAAGCGCUAUCAAGAAGUGAAGUUAGCGCACAAUUAAAGAAUAAUUUCGAGCAUGUCAUAGAGCAUAAUAAAAUCGAUCAUGCAUGGCAAUUAAAUCAAACAAACAAUCAAUCAAUCAUGAGGAAAUCACAUGUGUUGGGCCCCCACCAAAACCCGAUUUAUAUUACAUGAAUUAAUCCCAUAAAUUCCAUUAUUCGGAAUUACGAAAAAUUCGUUUCUGCUUAUUAAAGUCAAGAGGAGCAGAAGAUUGUUUGAAAGCCAGAGCGGAAUUAAAACUAUUUGGGAGAAAAUUAGAUUUUUGAAAUUUAUUAGAAAAUUGGAAUCUUGAAGAUCACUAGAAAAUUGGAAUUUAGAAAUUAACUUUAGGAAUUGGAAUUUAGGAAUUAAAUUUUAAAGAAAUUGGAAUGUUGAAAAUUAUUUGAGAGUUUGGAACUAUUAAAUUAUAAAAAUUGGAAACUUGGAAUUCAUUUGAAGGUGAAAUUUUUGAAAAUAAAUAAAUAAAAUGAUGACAAUAAAUAAAUAAAUAAAUAAACAAAUGUGAAAAUUGAAAAUUUAGAAAUUAGAAAUUAAAUUUGAAAAUUGGAAAUCGAAAUUUUGAAGAAUUAUUUAAAAAUGGAAUUUUAAAAAUAAAAUAAUAAUAAUAAUAACAAUAACGAAGAUAGUAAUUAUUAAAUAAAUAAAUAUAAAAAUUGAAAUUUUAGAAAUUGGAAAUUAAAUUUAAAAAAUUAAAAAAAUGAAAUUUCGGAUAUUAGAGUUUUGAAUAUUAAAUUGAGAAAAUGAAGUUUGAAAAAUUAAUUUUAAAAGAAUUCAGAAUUUUAAAAAUUAAAUUUAAAAAUUAAAUUAAGACAUCAACAUAUGAAAGAAUUAAAAAAAAAAAGAAAAAAUUUGAGAUUGGUAGUGGGUUGGUCUUGUCGGUGGUGAUGAUGGAAAUUACAACAUGGAAUGAUGGUUGGCUUUUAUGGAUAAAAAAAAAAAAAAAAAAAACAUUUGACUAAUGAUGAGAACUGGAAAUUGAGACUUUUAAUGGCACUCUCAUAAUAUGCUACUCCCAAAAUCAAAGGCAAACUAAAGUUAGCAUUGAUGGCGUUUUAUGAGAGAGAUAAGUUUCAUGUUCCUGCUGCGCAGACUUGCUGGCAUCCUCUCGUCUCUGCACAGCUCCGCCAAGUACUCCAGCCGAGAUCUUCUUGUCCCUUCACAAAAAUACAUCAGCGUGUUUUCCUUCGCCGAGAACUGUAUGGACCAGCUUCUCCCGUCCAAAGAGGCGGAAAUCCUUGGCUUUGACGGACGACGGCGACGCUGUUUUAUCAGGAUUGGAAACGGAGUCGGACGAUGACGAAUCAUGGCCUUGCAACUCGUUGGUGAUCUUUUCCAGCGAGGAUUCAGAUGCGGCUCUCGAACCUUUGGCGUGUUCAGCCAUUUUUAUCGGACUGGGAUCCGAAACACAGUCCUAUCGUGUCGGCGAAAUGAGAGGGGAAGAUGAUACUUCAGGGACAGAAACAAGAUUCCGAUGAAUGAAAAUGGAGCUGAGAGAGUGGCGACGAUGGAAAGAGAAAUGGGUUCAUAUUAGUGGAAAAAAACAUAUACAGAGUCAAAACCAAACUGCAACCCAUGUCUCUGGUGUCUCAUGAUGGAUAAGACGAAGGCCUUCAUCAGUUUCUCAAGCUGGAUCCAUGGAACAGAGAAAGAACCAACAGCACAAGGGUAUAAACGAACACAUAAAGCAACAAAGACAUCCAGUAGAAUGAUACCCAGAAUAAAAAAAUAUGGUUCACAAUGAACGUACCUGGAGUGCUUCCUGGAGUCGGAUUUGCUCCCCUUCCCCUCAGCUUUCCUGCCCCAGCCCCAAAGAAAUACAUAUAUUUUUUCUCUGCUGGCAGCUUCUUCUCCAAGCUGUCUCUCGCUGCCACCAGCAGCUCGCCUCAUCCCAUCCCAUGGCCGCCCAAAGCAGCUCGUUUCCCGGUGGUCAGAGAAGUAAUCAUAUAAAAAUGGCCAAAAACUCCUCCUCCCCGGUAGGGGGUCUACAGUUUAAUUUUUAAGAAUAGAAAACUAUUUAAAAAAUGAUUUCUAAACAAGCUUUAGCUUUGAAGUUGGUAUCAUUCUAGAAACAUAAGGUUAUGUUUAAUUUUUGAAAAGCAAUAGAGAAAUAAAAAAAAUAUUAAAGAAAAUGAUUUUUUUAAUAUUUGAUUUCAUUACAAAAAAAAUGAAAGAAAAUCAAGUAUAAUUAAAAUUAAUUAAAAAAUUAUUUGUUUUUAAAUUAUUUUAAUCUAUAUAAUGAAGGGAAAUAAAUGAAAUAAAUUUGAAGAAGUAUAUAAAAAUAAUUUAAUAAAUUUAUUUAAAUCUGUUUUUUUUUUCUUCCUUUUUUUUCUUUCCUCUUACUUUUUUAGUUGCAUUUUUUUCUCAAAUUUUUCGGUAAUCAAAUAUAGUUUAAAGGUUAGUAUACAUUAUUAAACAAUUAAUGAAUAACUUAAACUUUUGGUUUAAAUAGAGUGGGUUUAGUUUAAGAAUAUUAACUAUUUGUAAACUUGUUAGUUUUAUUUUUUAUUUUUUAUUUUUUAAAAUUCUUUGCAGUUUCAAAUAUUUCCUAUUGAAGUAAUUUAAUGGGAGUUAAAUAUAUUAUAAAGGAAAACAUUUUCGAAGUUGAAGUCUCUACAUGCAGUGAUAUAAACUAACACUUCAAACACAUUCAUACAUGCUCUACCCUUAAUUAGUCGAAAAUUUAAAGAGACUGAUUAUGUUAUUGAAAUUUUCAAUUUUAAACUUUGAUAUAUAUAAUUAAAUUAACUAUUAUCUUAUUUUUAAUUUUUUUAAUGCUUAAAAAAAAUAUUGAGGAAAAAAAAGAAAAAAAAAUAGAUUUUACAUUAAUAAAUUAUUUUUAUUUGUUUUUUCAAAUUUAUUUAAUUUAUUUAUAUAUAUAAAGAUUAUAUAAUUUUAAAAACUAUAAUGGUAUAUUCAUUUUUAAUUAUAUUUUAUUUAAAAAAAAUCUAUGAUAAAUUAAAUAUAAGUGACUUAUUUUCUUUAAUAUUUUUUCUAUAUUUUUAUGCAACUUAAAUCAUGAUGAAAAAGAAAAAGAAAAAGAAAAAAGAAAUAUUGGUCAUAUUUUAUGCAUGAUAAAGAAAAAUUUCUUUGGGUGUGAUUUAAACUUUAAAAAAAAAACCAAUUUAUUUUCAUGUUGGGUUAUUUGGUUAGAAGGAUGAAAUAAUUCUCAAUUAAAAAUUUUUUUUUUAAUAAAAAUAAUUUUAUCUUUUAAAACUUAUUGGCAGAUUAUCUAAAUAUUGAUCUCAAAAAUGUAUUAUUUUUAAAAUUUUAAAAUUUAAAAUUAUUUCAUCCUUUUAAUCAAUUUAUUUUAAAAAAUUCUCUUUAAUUUGGUUCAAUCUUUUCAAUGGACCUCAACUUUCCAUAUUGGUAGAUACCUUGAGAAAGAUGUCUGCCAAUCAAGGUCAUGAAGCAAGGCAUCCAAAACUCCUUAGCAGAUAGAAUUAUUAUUUUGAAGUUUAAGAAUGAGAAAAUGACAUCAUUUGUAAUUAAUUUUUGGUUUUGUAAGAUUAAGAAUGAGAUUAGAAAAUAUACUUUUGGAUGGAAUAUUAUAAUCGUAUUAAUAUAUUUAGAUUAAAAUAAUUUAUUUAGAUUGAAUAUUUUAUACCUAAUCUCUAAAUGUAGCGAUGGAAUAUACUCAUAUUUGAUUCUAAUAAAGUGAUAGGAAGAAAGAAAACUCGGAAAAAAAUGAUCUUUUAAAAAAAUACAAAAUUAAAUUAAAUUAAUUAAAAUUUAAUAUACUUUUAAAUUAUUUAAUAUUCACAAGACUUUAUUUAAUUUAUGCUCCAAUAAUACACAAAAAUGCAAAUUAAUUAAAAAUCAAAUAACUUAUUUUUUAAAGAAAACGUAAAUUACAAAUUUCAUGAUGUUUCAUUUUACACAAAAAUGAAAGAUUAAAAAUGGUUUCUAAUUUGUCCUUACAAAAAAUGUGACAUUAGGUGGAUUCCUUGAGACAUGGUGGACUGAUUGGUACCUAAGUUAUGAUGAUGUCUUCUCAUACAUUUCUUUUAAACUCAUCAAAUCAUUAAAGGGAAUGUAUCUAAUAAAUUUAAAAAGAAAUUCCUCACUUUUUUUCUUAUUAACAUUUGUUUUAUCUUUCAUUCCUUAUGAAUUCUAAAUUAAUGUUUUCUUUGUUAUAAUUAUUAUGAAUGGACAUCCACAUUAAUUAGUCUUUGACAAUUUAUUUGUGAAAAUGUAUUUAUAGCAAAAAAAACAAAUCAUGCCUAAAAUCAGGUCAAAUUGUUUUAAUUAUUCAAAUUGACUUUUUAAUUAGUAAUAAGAUUAAGUAUACAAGUCUUAUUUGGCUGUUCUAGGAGUAACUAUUGAUGAAUAUUAUGGCAAAUUUUUUUACUAAAGAGAUUUAUUACCAUGAUAUUAAAGAAGGUGAAUAAAUUUUUUUCUUAAAGUCUCAAAGAAUGAAGCAACAAUAGAUCAUGAUCCCAAAAUCUCUAUCAAUUUCUUCCAUCUUUAUAUUUCCAAUUAAAAGCGUAGUAACUUGGUUAUAAUUAGAAUAUCUUUCUAGUUUGUGUUUAACUAACUAAAAAGGAAAAAAUAUUUUUUUGUUAUGCGGUUCAUUUUAUACUAGGAAUUACCUUUAAAGUGUUUUUAUAAAAAUUUAUGAUAAUUUUAGUAUUUUAAAAAAUUUUCAUUGAACAUAAGUCUAGUUUUUCGAUUGUGUUAUAGGAGUUUUAUCUAAUAAGAUCAUGUCUGAUAUGUUUUUUACCGUAAAGAAGUGGAAGUAGAAAUGAUUACUUUUGUUAUAUAAUUGAUUUUAUAUUUAAAACUAUAUUUUAAAAAUAUGUUUAGCAAAUAUAAAAAUAAUUUAUAUUUUUUAAAAAUUAAUUAAAUAAAGCUUUGAUUCUAACAUCAAAGCAUUUACAUUUUCAAAAAAUUGAUGAAAAAUUGAUGAUCAAGAAAUCUAAGAAGAAUUAUCUUUGGUAUUUAAAGGAUGAUUUUAAAGUUCAAAUGACUCCCAAGUGAAACUUGAAUGCAAUCAAAGCCUAUAACACCAUUGGAAAUAUUAUUAUUUCAUUAUUUUAUUUAUAAAAAUUUGCACUCUACUACAAAAUAAUAGAACUAUAUAGUAGUUUUAUUAUAUAUAUGUGACUUGAGUCAUAACUUGGGUUUUGGUAUGACUUAGGUGGAAAUUGUUUUUUUUGGUUUUUUAGUUAAAGUAAUUUGUUUUCAGAAUUUAUGCUGUUUAUUUUUCUAUUUUUUCAUAAUUUAUUAUAAAUUUUUUACUAAAUAAAAAAAGUCAAAAUAUAUUACUUUUUUUAAAUAGAAAAAAUAACAUAUUUGAAAAUGUGAAUCUCAAUAAUGAACUACACCUAGAGGGGGGUGAAUAGGUGUUGUAGAACAAUUUAAAAAUUCUCUCAACAAAGAUUACCUAACCUUAGACUAUCUUAAUGUCAAGAAUUUUUUUCUUCCAAUAACUUUUCAACAAAGCAAAACAUCCACAAGCAAUAAUGUAUACAUCAACACUCUCCCAACAAUUUAUCAAUGUAAAACACAUGCAAAUGCUUCAACACUCCUAAAAAAUAAAUCAAAAUAUAGAGUGAGAGAAAGAGACAAUGAACACCGGAUUUUUAACGUGGAAAACUUCCGAAGAGAUCAAAAACCACGGGCCUAUCACCGAUUGAAAACUCCACUAUGAAGAAUAAAAACUGAGUACAAGGUUUUACCUAACUCAAGCCAAUCAAUCCUUCCCGGAAUACUUGACUAGUACCUUCAUUUUCAGCUUCUCCUGUUGGAGCACACUUGGAGUCCGCACCAAGCUCAAUCUCGGCCUCUUCUUGAAUCCACACAAGAAGAAAAUGGGUUUUUACAUAAACCCAAAUAGAAUGAGAGAUUGAGAUGUGAAUGAAGGAAUGAAUCAACCCAUUUAUUGCUCAAGAAAAUCCAUUGAAAACUAGUUUGGAAAAUAUUAAGAGAAGUGGAUUUUCUUUGCAAUCAAAAACCCUAAAUUAGGAAAGCAAAAAUGAGAAAAUGAAGAACACUUGGAGUGUGGCUGCUCUCCCCACGUUUUCUGCAGUCUCUCUUACCAGAAAAUGAGAGAAGAUUGGUUUUUAAAGUGUAAAAAGAAACCCUUAAUCUAAUGGCUGAGAUUUGAUCAAAAAAACAUUAGUUGGAUAGAUCCACCCCUACACUUGGAUCGAUCCAGAAACAGAAGAAUGAAAGCUUUGCACCAAAAACCAUUUUUCUCAACUUUCUAACACAUUUAAAGAUUAAAAACCGGGUUGAUUCACACUCAAUCACUCCACACUUGACUACAUAUCUCGGCCUCUUAGCAAAGUCUUAGUUUUCAAAGUCAAGUAGUACAAAUAGGAAUAGGAAAGCCGAGUUAGGGGACACUUAGGAAUUUUGUCCGGAAUUGCCAACCUAGCUAAACACUCACAAUAUUGAUUUUUUUUUUUAAUACUUAAUAGAAAUAAAAUAUUAUAAAAACAAACAACCUAAUAUUUAAUACUAUUAAACAUUAAGUACCUAUUUAGAAUUAAGUAAAAAAACAAACACCACCUUAACCAUAGUAUCAUUUGGGCUUCCAUGACUACCCUGUAGCAACUGGACAAUAGAUGCUAUGGUCCAUGACUACUCUUUAACAAGAGACUUCCGAUAAAACAGGACCUAAAAAACCAUAACAAUCCAGCUCAUCAUGCAGCAACCUGACCAAAGAGCCGCUUGCGAAGCUGCAGUGGGAAGAAAACAAGAAAAUGGUUAAAGAAGAAUGGCCACACAUGGAUAAACUAAGGCUAUCAUUCACCAUCAAAUUUGAGAGACACAUGCCCAUAUAAGAUGAAUGCAGCAGAUAAUCUAAAGAUGAAAUAUCCAAUUGACUGAUAAUUGGGUAUAUAAACCAAUUAACUGGGAAAAAAAAAUGAACUUAAGAAGGAUGAAUACCCCUGGAAGUUUUUUUAUGAAAUACAACAUCCAAUCUUGCAUCAAGGGUGUUCUCCCAUAAAAUUUUUCUACCAGAGGGAUUUUCCAUCACUUUUCUUUCAACAAAAGCUGUUUCAUCCAUGUUUAUAUAUUUCCCACAACCAGUCCGAUAUAAAGAGUAAAAGAUGCAUGAGUUAUAUAUUAUUUUUUUGAAAAUGAAAGAUCAGCCAGCAGUCUCACAGAAAGAGUACAUUUGUACCUUUACAAACCUUUCCACUACAUAACAACUGUUAGUAAGCAAAACAGACCAUAUGCCCACAAAAAAUGGGAGGAUCAAAGUUUACGCUUCUGCCAGUGAUCCAUUUCCAAUACCUCAAGUUAGUGUUUAAGUCCAUGAUCUAGGUUUCUUUCUUUUUUCUUUUUUUAUUUAUUUUCCUUUUUUUUUAAGGUAAUAAAAAGAGAACACCCUGGUCUGCUCAACCUGUUUGGGCAAAGUAAAAUUUGGGCAAAUUAGCUGAGUUUAUAUUGACCUGAACCACAAGAUCUUUGAGAAGCCUUUUAUAGACAUGGUGAUCAUGUCCAGAGACGAUGUUUUAAAAUGCAAUUCAUUAUUGCAUAUUGAUACUAUCCAGUAGGUAGAAGUAGAACCGUAGAACAACUCAUAACUGCAAAAGCAUACCAUUAGCCUUCAAAGCCUGUUUAAGUUUCAGAGCCAAUCUCCUGAGGCGUUACUGCCAUUUGAAGAUCGAGACCAGUACUCCGUGACAAGCUGCCCAAACAGCGAUCCCUCCUUCUUUAUCAGUUUCAUUGGCACAUCGUACUCUACUAAUUUUCCUACGGAAGCAAAAGCACUAGUUAUUUGAAUUUGUUUUACCAUAUUGAUCCCAACUAGAAUGAAAUGUUCCUUCGUAGAAACUCACCGUCACUGAUAGCAAGCACCAUUGUGCAGUCCAUCACGGUUGGGAUUCUGUGGGCUACUGUAAUUACAGUGCAGUCUGCAAAUUCUGUUCUUAUGGUCUUCUGGAGAAUGGAGUCUGUUGCAUUGUCUAUAGAUGCAGUGGCUUCAUCAAGCACUAGUAUCCGACUUCUCUUCAGUAGGGCACGUCCCAAGCAGAAUAAUUGUCGCUGGCCCAUGCUCCAAUUUGAUCCGUCAUGUACAACUGUAGGGCAGACAGAUUGUUAGCAAGAGUUUUUGAAUCCAAAGAAUGGUACCAGUGUGUUUUAUGUUUCAUACCUAAGGAGUCCAGGCCCUCUUCUUUCUCUUGAACAGCCCCUCGAAGUUGACAUUUUCCCAGAACCUUUCACACAUUCAUGAGAAACAAUCUUAGUGUAGGAUAUAAAGUAAAUUUACCUUAUUAGGAAUCUGUACUUUUUGAAGGGACUACCACGACAAAUAUUUGGUAUGGAAAGAAAAUUAGGAGGUAUUUAAUAGCACUCUAAAACAUCAUUGUGUUCCAAAACACAGAAUAUCAGGAGCUCGAUCAAUGACAAUGGAAUUCAAAAUCUGACAGCGUUUAAUUAGUUUGUUAGUGUAGAAACUGCAAUGUCUAUGCACUUAAGAGUGAAGCCUGCUUCAUAUCACUGGCAGAAUCUUUUGGAGAUCUGUAACAUAUCAUGAUUGAAUCCUAAAAUUAGCAACCACAACAAAUUAAUAGGAAACUAACCUCCCAUAUUUCCUCAUCAGUAUGCAGCGAUAAAGGGUCAAGAUUGUAUCUUAUAGACCCGCUAAACAGAGUUGGUUCUUGUGGAAUGAUCCCAAGACGUGAUCUGAGAUCAUGAAGCCCAAUUGUGGAAAUAUUUAUGCCAUCUAUAAUUAUCUGUCCCUCUGUAGGCUCUACCAAGCGAAACAAAGCGCUGAUAAGAGUUGUCUUUCCACUACCAGUCCGGCCAACGAUCCCAAUUUUCUGUCCUCCUCCAAAUUUGCAACUGAUUCCUUGAAGAACUAGAGGAGCAUUGGGCCGAUACUUGACCUGCUCAAUGUCAUUUCAUCUACUAUAUUAAUCUCUAUAAAUCUUGAAGUUGUAGAACAGAAACAGAUACCCAAAUUCUUACUGAUUUCACCAUACCUUCAAAUCAUAAAUUUCCACUUCACCAAUAGUAGGCCAACUGGGUGGCGGUCGAUUACUCCCUAUGACUUCAGGGGCUUCGCUAGGAAUAUUCAUGUACUGUUCUAAUCUUUCAACAGAAACAAUCAUAUUUGCUAAAAGGCACUGGCUUUGGGCAGAAAAUACGAAGAAUACAUUCACUGAAAGGCCAUACGAUAAUGCCAUUCCAAUAAAUCCUGCCAUCAGAACAUUGACGACGAAAAUGCUCAUUAGACAAUAAUACCAUAAAUGGUUGUCAAUUACUAAGAUUUCUUUAAAUAUCACAUUGACCAAGCUGUUUUUGAAUAUCAAAUACUGUGCACGUAGGAAGUUAGUAGAAGGGUUUUUCUUUUGGAUUAUGCACUGAUCUGUUUGUAUGAUUAUUGUGUAAGAAUCAUGGACUUGUUAGCUCACUUUGUUCUUGAUAUAACCCAAGUUUCUAGUUAUGAUGUUGAGAAAGUUGGAGCUAAAAUGGGUUUAUUAUAGUGAUUUUUUAUUACUACCAACUGGGCAGCUGUUGUUUCAUGAUCUACAAAGCCCUAUCUUGUAUUCAUUUCACUCCACUCAUCAAGGUCAAGUAGGAAACUAAGAUAGGUAACUUUCCUAUUUAAUGUUGGAUAUUUUAUUGGAUUUUAGGUCAUUACUGAAGUGCCUCUAAAUAUUUCAUUCUCCUGAAGUUCCUUCUUUUCAGUGAGAAAUAUGAAAAUUUAGUGGAGACCCUGGGUUGUAGAUCUCUUUCUUUUACAGUUAAAAACAUAUGCUAUCUAGCAAGCAGUCAUAGCAGGCAACAGAAAAGCAGUUUUUGUCUUGAGGUUUUGAUCCUUUUGGAGAAUUUACCAUUUGUGGCCAUAAUCAGACACUUCAUAUUUAUCAUUUUCUGGUUGUAGAUCUUACCUACUGAAAAAUCCUAAUGGUAUCCUCUUGUAAGGAUCAAAAUUCACAUGAUCAAUUACUAUUCUCAAAGUUGCACAGGCCCCCUUAGGUUAAACAUGUUAUAAACUUCUAGGGAGUUAAAACUGUUGAAAUUAGACCAAAGAGAGUUUUAAGCAACUGCAAGGACAAUUGAAGGAUCUGGCAUGGACCUUCUAAUUUUGUGUCCAUUCUCAUUGGUCAUAUAGUUAGCCUCGUGAGUAAAUUCAAACUAUCUUGGAUUUUGCCUAGUUUGUUGUAUCAACUAAUGGAUAGUUGAGCAUGCAGGGUUAGGUACAGGAAGGACCUGUAAUUUCGGUAGUGUCUUUAGUUUGUAGUUUAGUACCCUUAUGGAAUCCUCUAGGAAAGAAAGAGAUAAGAGUAUUUUUGGUUUUUUUUUCUUUUGGAGACGGAAGGUUUUGUUAUUAGCAUCCACAAAUGGGGUAAAAUGGCAGAUCUCUAGCUGAUAUUGGGCAUGCUAGUUCAGGUCAUUAGGCCAGUGAUCCGGGUGGCUCCUAUGAGAUAAAUCUUCAAGUUGCUGCAAGUUAAAAAUGCAAUAGGGUGAUGGAAAGGCUGAAUGUAACAUGGGUGGAAUUCAUAAAAAAGAUAAAAAUCUCAAUAUUGAAUGGUGACUUGUCUUACUAUCAAGCCAAAUGGCUGGAAAGGAUCAUUGUAAUUAAACCAAGGUUGUGAUCAAAUGGUACUUGUAGAGGAACGAAUUUACGAUUUCAUCUUAGAGAAUUGAUAGUUAGGAGUGUUCAAGCAAACUAACAAAUUCAAAUGUAAUCGAGCUGUAUAAACUAGUGCCAAAAACACCUACCAGAUUUAGAAGAACUCGUAUGAAGCAAUGUUAGGGCAAGGGCUGAAGAUGAGAGAACGAUAGCACAUAGUAUUUCAAGGCGUUGGAUCAACCACUCAUUUGCUGUGAAACUGUAGAAGAAUGGACUUGCAUUUAUGUCAAUGAAGUCCAAAUUCUUUGAAAAGUGUCUAUCUUCCUCCCCGAAAGCUCUAAUUGUCAUAGCACCGGCAAUGGACUCAGCAAGAUGGCUUGCAACAAAGGACUUCGUCGUGCCAUUGAUUCGCAUCAAUUCUUUUCCAGCAGCAAAGUAGUACCUCUGGUUGUUAAAAUGAAAACAAACAUGAUCAAUUGCUGAGAAGCCAAGAGAAGUACAAAAUAUCUUACAGGGAACACACGCCUAAAUGAGGAGGGAAGCAGCUGCCUCUACUACAUCUAUGAAAACAUGAGACAGCAGUGUAUUACCUGGAUGAGUAUACUAAGAUAAAUUGUUGGUAAAAUGACAAACACAAGUUCCCAGGCAAGAAUAGCCAAUACUCCAAAACUGGCAUAAGUAGUCACAGCUGCCCCAAUAGCAAAAGUAAAUUUGAAGGCCAUAUCAAGGUCAACCACACUUAAAUCAGAAGAUACCUACAAAACGACAAUAAAAAAAUAAGUCUUCUGUUGUUUGUAAUAUGCAUAUAUUUUAAGCAUCUUACCCGACUGAGUAUCCUUCCCAGAGGUGUCGAGUCAUAAAAGGACAUUGGUGCUCGAAAAAGGGAGCUCAGCAGUGUAGAAAAAAUAGAUUGCGAUGCCCCAAGGCCUACAACAACAACAAAAAAUGAUCGGAGCAACAAAAAUAUUGAUAAGCUUAAUCCAAUCCCUGUGUAUACUGCAAUCAGUUUCAAUUGGCUAACACUAGGAUUCUGGACAUUUGCAGCCAACCAAUAGUUUUGCACCAACUGCGCAACAAUGAAUAUGAUAUGAGAUAGAUUUGCCAAAAAGAAGUAGAACAAUCCCUUGCUAUAUUUCAAGUAUUGUAGGUAAGGCUUCAGACCAGUGUCUCCCGUUUCUCUUUCUUCUUUCUUAAUUAACUGUUCUCCUAAUGAAUCUCUUAACUGUUUUUCGCUGUCAAUCUUUUGUAUCUCUCCCUUCGGAAUUUUAGACUUCUGGGUAGAAUCAUGCUCAGGUUGCCUCUCAGAACCAACUGUGGCAUUGUGUGCAAUGAUAAGGUCCUGGAACUCUUGACUAGAGUGCAUCAGCUGGUCAAAGGUAGCAGCUUGCAGGAUCUCCCCUUCGGACAUUAACUGCCAAUAAAAUUAGUCAUUUGAACUGUUUGAUUUAAAAGCAUCUGUUACUCAAAGAUUGCCUUCCAGAUUUAGAGAUUAUUUGUUAAGAAAGGAAAAUGAAGUCAAAUCAGAGUUAAAGAAGGAUAUCCAAGAAAGUAACUGUACUGACCAAAACCGAAUCGAAUGCAGGGAGGAAGUCCACUUGGUGGGUCACAAGUAUGACUGUCUUCAUUGAUAGAGCUCCCAUGACAUAUUCCUGGCCACAACAGGCAUUAGCGUUCACUCUGAAAGCAUAGCAUAAUUUCUGACAAAGGAGAACUGUACUUACAUUAAAUAGAUUGGUUGCAGUAUGUGCAUCAACCGCACUAAAUGGAUCAUCCAGGAGAUAUACAUCUGCAUCCCGAUAUAAAGCACGUGCAAGUUGAACCCGCUGUUUCUGUCCACCACUCAGAUUAACACCUCUUUCUCCUAUUUCAGUGAGAUCACCGAAUGGAAGCAUCUCAAGGUCCUUCACUAGGGCACACUUCUCAAUAGCCUCUCUGUAUCUGUAAGGAUCCAUAGCAGACCCAAACAGAAUAUUUUCUUGUAUUGUCCCUGUUGGAAUCCAUGCUGUCUGAGAGACGUAAGCAAUCUUCCCAUAAACUCG
rnacentral:lncRNA from 1 species